ensembl:snRNA U6 U6 spliceosomal RNA
GUGCUUGCUUCAGCAGUACAUAUACUAAAAUUAGAAUGAUACAGAGAAGAUUAGCAUGUCCCCUAUGCAAGGAUGACAUCCAAAUUAAUGAAGUGUUCCAUAUUUUU